UACAGAGGUGGCAAGCGUUGUUCGGAAUUACUGGGCGUAAAGGGCGCGUAGGCGGCCUUCUAAGUCAGACGUGAAAUCCCCCGGCUUAACCUGGGAACUGCGUCUGAUACUGGGAGGCUUGAGUAUGGGAGAGGGAUGUAGAAUUCCAGGUGUAGCGGUGAAAUGCGUAGAUAUCAGGAGGAACACCGAUGGCGAAGGCGGGUCUCUGGGCCGAUACUGACGCUGAGGAGCGAAAGCGUGGGGAGCAAACAGG
rnacentral:rRNA from 1 species